UGCAAGUCGUACGCUUCUUUUUCCACCGGAGCUUGCUCCACCGGAAAAAGAAGAGUGGCGAACGGGUGAGUAACACGUGGGUAACCUGCCCAUCAGAAGGGGAUAACACUUGGAAACAGGUGCUAAUACCGUAUAACAAUCGAAACCGCAUGGUUUUGAUUUGAAAGGCGCUUUCGGGUGUCGCUGAUGGAUGGACCCGCGGUGCAUUAGCUAGUUGGUGAGGUAACGGCUCACCAAGGCCACGAUGCAUAGCCGACCUGAGAGGGUGAUCGGCCACAUUGGGACUGAGACACGGCCCAAACUCCUACGGGAGGCAGCAGUAGGGAAUCUUCGGCAAUGGACGAAAGUCUGACCGAGCAACGCCGCGUGAGUGAAGAAGGUUUUCGGAUCGUAAAACUCUGUUGUUAGAGAAGAACAAGGAUGAGAGUAACUGUUCAUCCCUUGACGGUAUCUAACCAGAAAGCCACGGCUAACUACGUGCCAGCAGCCGCGGUAAUACGUAGGUGGCAAGCGUUGUCCGGAUUUAUUGGGCGUAAAGCGAGCGCAGGCGGUUUCUUAAGUCUGAUGUGAAAGCCCCCGGCUCAACCGGGGAGGGUCAUUGGAAACUGGGAGACUUGAGUGCAGAAGAGGAGAGUGGAAUUCCAUGUGUAGCGGUGAAAUGCGUAGAUAUAUGGAGGAACACCAGUGGCGAAGGCGGCUCUCUGGUCUGUAACUGACGCUGAGGCUCGAAAGCGUGGGGAGCAAACAGGAUUAGAUACCCUGGUAGUCCACGCCGUAAACGAUGAGUGCUAAGUGUUGGAGGGUUUCCGCCCUUCAGUGCUGCAGCUAACGCAUUAAGCACUCCGCCUGGGGAGUACGACCGCAAGGUUGAAACUCAAAGGAAUUGACGGGGGCCCGCACAAGCGGUGGAGCAUGUGGUUUAAUUCGAAGCAACGCGAAGAACCUUACCAGGUCUUGACAUCCUUUGACCACUCUAGAGAUAGAGCUUCCCCUUCGGGGGCAAAGUGACAGGUGGUGCAUGGUUGUCGUCAGCUCGUGUCGUGAGAUGUUGGGUUAAGUCCCGCAACGAGCGCAACCCUUAUUGUUAGUUGCCAUCAUUUAGUUGGGCACUCUAGCAAGACUGCCGGUGACAAACCGGAGGAAGGUGGGGAUGACGUCAAAUCAUCAUGCCCCUUAUGACCUGGGCUACACACGUGCUACAAUGGGAAGUACAACGAGUCGCGAAGUCGCGAGGCUAAGCUAAUCUCUUAAAGCUUCUCUCAGUUCGGAUUGUAGGCUGCAACUCGCCUACAUGAAGCCGGAAUCGCUAGUAAUCGCGGAUCAGCACGCCGCGGUGAAUACGUUCCCGGGCCUUGUACACACCGCCCGUCACACCACGAGAGUUUGUAACACCCGAAGUCGGUGAGGUAACCUUUUGGAGCCAGCCGC
rnacentral:rRNA from 1 species